rnacentral:lncRNA from 1 species
CAUUAAGGUACAUGCCAAAAAUGAAUACUAAGCCUUAGGAAGAGUUUAAAGGCAUUUUGGAACCUAAAACUUGGAGUUUACGGCCCAAGGAGUUUCUUGGCCGUAAACUCCCUUAUAGAAAUGAUUUCUAAGGGUUUUGAUGGCAUAAAUCAUGAGUGUAAAGCUUCUAGGUGUUUGUUCUAAGGCUAGGGAUCACAAGGCACUCAUUUGUGCCCUUUACUUGGAGUUUACGGCCCAAGAGGUGGUUCCUUGGCCGUAAACUCCUCAAACUAAGUGAUUUUGAUUUGUUUCUAGCCUCCAAUGAUCAUACACUAGGUCCUUAGUUAGUUGCCUAACACGGAAAUGGGACUAUGUGGCCUUUAGGCUUGAUUUUGGAGUUUACUCCCCAAGAACGUUCUUGGGCGGUAAACUCCCGGAUCUUGUGUUUUGGACAUGUAAUCAAUGUUAUAAAGCAUAUAACAAGUAUUAAAACACAUUUAGGGAAGUAGACUCACAAUCUGGGAUGAAAACCCGAAGAUCCGUGAGAGAGUAUUUGGCUUUUCUCUAAAUGGAAAUCAAAUAAUGAACCAAUUUGGUUCAGAAUUCUAUUUAUAGUCCAGAGAUUUUUGGCAGAAAAUAUUUCUAUUCUCGGAAUGGAUUCUAAUGACCUAGAGUAAUGGAAUUACAGUGUUGCACAAAAUCCUAGUGCACCCACUCUCCUAAUAACUCCUUAGGUGUAAAACCCUAAAACUGCCAAACUUAUUCCAAAAGUUUGAAUUUUCACUGAAACUGCUCUACUUCCAUUGGAUUGAUGUGGUUUGAUUUGAAUGGAAAAUUUCGGGUUGUCACAGUUAAGGGGUAUGAACUCACCUGCAGUAUGUGACUGGAAUUGAACGGGCUGUUAUCGUACGGAAGGAUCAGACAAGUGCUUGGUGUCAAGUGAAGACUUAGACACACACAAUGAUCCUAAUUACAUAUGAAACAUAUGUAUAUAAAUAAUUAGUGAUUAUAACACUAAUUAUACAAGUAAUAACAUUUAAGCGCGAGGACAACACUUUUGGUCAAGUGCUAGGAGGCUAAUGGGUUGCAACAAAGAAGUGCAAUGCCCCUAAUGAAAGUUUAAGGUCAAAAGACCAUAUUCAUUAGAGUUUACGGCCCAGGGGAGUAAGCUCCUGGCCGUAAACUCUCAAACAAGUCAUGAAAUGGAGUUUAAAAGUACUACAACCUUAGAGGGGAAUUGUUUCAAGGCUAUACAAGUGUUUGGGCACCACACUGACUCCUUUGGGGAGUUUACGGCCCAAAGACCCUUCUCCCUUGGAGUUUACGGCCGUAAACUCCCUUGGGAGGGUUCUUAUUGGCCUUUCAAGUCUCUAACAUUUCUAGGAACAAGUCUAGGCUUCAAUACUUGGAUCAAGGGAGGUUUAUGGCAUUAAAUGGAACCAUUUGAUGGAGUUUACGGCCAUAGAACUCUUUGGGCCGUAAACUCCCUCACACAUGAGGUUCUAAGAAUUUUAACUAGCCCAAAACUCAUCUAGGUACUUGCCCUAAAAGUCUCUUGGCCUAAGGAAGUGUCUAGGGUGUCCUUUGACCCCUUUAAAGGAGUUUACGGCCCAAGAAAUACUCUUGGCCGUAAACUCUCAAACACUUAUGCUUUUUAUGUGUUUUCUAGGUCCUAAACACAUUAAGGUACAUGCCAAAAAUGAAUACUAAGCCUUAGGAAGAGUUUAAAGGCAUUUUGGAACCUAAAACUUGGAGUUUACGGCCCAAGGAGUUUCUUGGCCGUAAACUCCCUUAUAGAAAUGAUUUCUAAGGGUUUUGAUGGCAUAAAUCAUGAGUGUAAAGCUUCUAGGUGUUUGUUCUAAGGCUAGGGAUCACAAGGCACUCAUUUGUGCCAUUUACUUGGAGUUUACGGCCCAAGAGGUGGUUCCUUGGCCGUAAACUCCUCAAACUAAGUGAUUUUGAUUUGUUUCUAGCCUCCAAUGAUCAUUCACUAGGUCCUUAGUUAGUUGCCUAACACGGAAAUGGGACUAUGUGGCCUUUAGGCUUGAUUUUGGAGUUUACUCCCCAAGAACGUUCUUGGGCGGUAAACUCCCGGAUCUAGUGUUUUGGACAUGUAAACAAUGUUAUAAAGCAUAUAACAAGUAUUAAAACACAUUUAGGGAAGUAGACUCACAAUCUGGGAUGAAAACCCGAAGAUCCGUGAGAGAGUAUUUGGCUUUUCUCUAAAUGGAAAUCAAAUAAUGAACCAAUUUGGUUCAGAAUUCUAUUUAUAGUCCAGAGAUUUUUGGCAGAAAAAUAUUUCUAUUCUCGGAGUGGAUUCUAAUGACCUAGAGUAAUGGAAUUACAGUGUUGCACAAAAUCCUAAUGCACCCAUUCUCCUAAUAACUCCUUAGGUGUAAAACCCUAAAACUGCCAAACUUACUCCAAAAGUUUGAAUUCUCACUGAAACUGCUCUACUUCUAUUGGAUUGAUGUGGUUUGAUUUGAAUGGAAAAUUUCGGGUUGUCACAUUUCAUUAGUUUAUUAUUGUGGUUUUAUUUCCAUGUUUGAACCACUUCCACAAUAUUAAUAUAUUUGAACCUCCAUAGUUAGUCCUACUUCUGUAAGUAAGCAUUGAUUUAAGAUUUUCAUGGAGCAUUAGUAGAUUUUUG